GACGAACGCUGGCGGCGUGCUUAACACAUGCAAGUCGAACGCUGACGCUUGGUGCUUGCACUGGGUGGAUGAGUGGCGAACGGGUGAGUAAUACGUGAGUAACCUGCCCUUGACUCUGGGAUAAGCCUGGGAAACUGGGUCUAAUACUGGAUACGACAUGCCACUGCAUGGUGGUGUGUGGAAAGGGUUUUACUGGUUUUGGAUGGGCUCACGGCCUAUCAGCUUGUUGGUGGGGUAAUGGCCUACCAAGGCGACGACGGGUAGCCGGCCUGAGAGGGUGACCGGCCACACUGGGACUGAGACACGGCCCAGACUCCUACGGGAGGCAGCAGUGGGGAAUAUUGCACAAUGGGCGGAAGCCUGAUGCAGCGACGCCGCGUGAGGGAUGACGGCCUUCGGGUUGUAAACCUCUUUCAGCACGGAAGAAGCGAGAGUGACGGUACGUGCAGAAGAAGCGCCGGCUAACUACGUG
rnacentral:rRNA from 1 species